AGAGUUUGAUCAUGGCUCAGGACGAACGCUGGCGGCGUGCCUAAAACAUGCAAGUCGAACGGUCGUAGCAAUACGAUAGUGGCGAACGGCGGAGUAAUACAUAAGCAACGUGCCCCAAAGACCGGGAUAGUCAUUGGAAACGAUGGGUAAUACCGGAUGUGGCUCCCUGAGGACAUCCCCAGGGAAUUAAAUGGUUUUUCGCUUUGGGAGCGGCUUAUGGGCUAUCAGCUUGUUGGUGGGGUAAUGGCCUACCAAGGCGACGACGGCUAGGGGUUCUGAGAGGAUGAUCCCCCCGAGUGGGACUGAGACACGGCCCACACACCUACGGGUGGCAGCAGUUGGGAAUCUUGCACAAUGGGGGCAACCCUGAUGCAGCGACGCCGCGUGGAGGAUGAAGGAUCUAGGUCUGUAAACUCCUUUUGUUGGGAAAGACUUAGGACGGUACCCAACGAAUAAGGACCGGCUAACUACGUGCCAGCAGCCGCGGUAAGACGUAGGGUCCAAGCGUUGUCCGGAUUUACUGGGCGUAAAGAGCGCGUAGGCGGUCCGUUAAGUGUGAAGUGAAAUCUCCAGGGCUCAACCCGGAAAUUGCUUCGCAUACUGGCGGACUUGAGGGAUGCAGAGGUAAGUGGAAUUCCUGGUGUAGCGGUGACAUGCAUUGAUAUCAGGAGGAACACCGAUGGCGAAGGCAGCUUACUGGGCAUCAUCUGACGCUGAGGCGCGAAAGCGUGGGUAGCAAACAGAAUUAGAUACUCUGGUAGUCCACGCCCUAAACGAUGGAUACUAGGCGUAAGAGGUAUCGACCCCUCUUGUGCCGCCGCUAACGCAUUAAGUAUCCCGCCUGGGGACUACGGCCGCAAGGUUGAAACUCAAAUGAAUUGACGGGGACCCGCACAAGCGGUGGAGCAUGUGGAUUAAUUCGAUACUAACCGAAGAACCUUACCCAGGCUUGACAUCGAUGGAAAUCUAUCGAAAGAUAGCCCUCAUCCCAAAAGGAUGACCUGAAGACACUUGUUGCAUGGCUGUCGUCAGCUCGUGCCGUGAGGUGUUUGGUUAAGUCCAGCAACGAGCGCAACCCUCGUUCUAUGUUGCCAGCGGGUAAUGCCGGGAACUCAUAGGAGACUGCCGUCGUAAGUCGGAGGAAGGUGGGGAUGACGUCAAGUCAGCAUGGCAGUUACGCCUGGGGCUUCACACAUGCUACAAUGGACGAAACAAAGGGCAGCAAUACCGCGAGGUGGCACCAAUCCCAAAAAUACUCCUCAGUUCAGAUUGUAGUCUGCAACUCGACUACAUGAAGGCGGAAUCGCUAGUAAACGCAGGUCAGCUAUACUGCGUUGAAUACGUUCCCGGGUCUUGUACACACCGCCCGUCAAGUCACCCGAAUUGUCUGCACCCGAAGUCCGUGGCCUAACCGUAAGGAGGGAGCGGCCGAAGGUGCGGGGGGUAAGGGGGACUAAGUCGUAACAAGGUA
rnacentral:rRNA from 1 species